UUGGAUAUAGCUCAGUCGGUAGAGCGCGGCUUGAUGCUGUGGUCGCGGGUUCGAGUCCCGUUAUCCCAA
rnacentral:tRNA from 1 species